GGUCCUGUAGUGUAGUCCGGCCAAUCAUGAGGCCCUCUCGAGGCUUCGACCCGGGUUCGAAUCCCGGCAGGACCA
rnacentral:tRNA from 1 species